GAAGAAGUAAUAAUUUGGUGGGACAAGUACCAAAAAUAGUGAGAAAUUACUAUGAUGCCCUUUUAAUUAUGUUUAAAUCUAUUUAAUUCUUUUUUCGUAAGAAGGAUAAGAAAGGAAAGUACCUGCAAGUACCACUGGUACUUUAGAAGCAUUGUAACAAAGCUCUUGUCAUAAAAGUUAAAAGUAUAGCUUAUCAAAAUAAGAAACUUCCCUAAAACAAGAUAAAAGAUUUGCUAGGUCAAUGUUGACAGGAAAUAGUCCAAGAUAUUGUGGGUUUUUUAAUUAUUUUCUAUCUGAAUCUAGUAAAGAGAUAUCUAAACCUUUAGUGCGAUUUUCUGGAGAAUUUUUGUGUACAUUAACUACUGGUAGGUUUAAGUUUGCAUGAAUUAGGUGGUUUACCUUCAAUAUUUCCUUUUCUUCAAAACACGGGGCCAAUUAGGUUUCCACUUUCCACAGUGUGACAUGUACUAACCAAGCCAAAUGUGACAUGUCCAAAAUUUUUCACCCUCUAAAUGAAGGCCAAUUUUGGUUAAAAUAACCAAAUUUUAGUUUGGCGUUAUUGGGCACACUUGGGUAAGCAACCAAACACGUCCACACUACAAUUUUCUCCCCGUACGUCCCCCUCCAUUUCCUUUAAAUACCUUCACCCGUAUACUUGGCUACUUAUAGUUGGGUGCGUAUUUUCUAG
rnacentral:lncRNA from 1 species